GAUGAACGCUGGCGGCGUGCUUAACACAUGCAAGUCGAACGGAAAGGCCCAAGCUUGCUUGGGUACUCGAGUGGCGAACGGGUGAGUAACACGUGGGUGAUCUGCCCUGCACUUCGGGAUAAGCCUGGGAAACUGGGUCUAAUACCGGAUAGGACCACAUUUUGGGUGGUGUGGUGGAAAGUUUUUCGGUGUGGGAUGAGCUCGCGGCCUAUCAGCUUGUUGGUGGGGUAAUGGCCUACCAAGGCGUCGACGGGUAGCCGGCCUGAGAGGGUGUACGGCCACAUUGGGACUGAGAUACGGCCCAGACUCCUACGGGAGGCAGCAGUGGGGAAUAUUGCACAAUGGGCGCAAGCCUGAUGCAGCGACGCCGCGUGGGGGAUGACGGCCUUCGGGUUGUAAACUCCUUUCGCUAGGGACGAAGCGUUUUUGUGACGGUACCUGGAGAAGAAGCACCGGCUAACUACGUG
rnacentral:rRNA from 1 species